GGUAAAUACAUGUUGAUAUUACAAGACUUCAUGUGAGCAAUAACUAUAUUAACGAUUCAAAAACUUUGGUUGUAUAAAGGCAACAAUCAUGUCCAUUCGCUGGAGGAAGGCAUUUCUAUGACGUCUACAACUAAGGAGAACCCAAAUAAAUUUUGAAAAUUGCGUUAAAGUCAUUGACGACUAAAUUUGAACAGAAACAGCAGCAGCAAGUGCAAUGGCAAGGAUAAAUGGGCGAGACCACGUUAACGUUUAUGUUGGGAAAGAAUUAUUCGGUCACUGGAAGGGAGUCUCAACGUGGCUUGAACGUAAAUUAUUAACUAUCAAAGCGAAAUUACUACGAGUUAACGACGUCUACCAGACACACCAAAUAUUAAAUGGAUAUACCGGACGUAAUCUAAGCAUUUGAUAAGCAAACAGUUUGUACUGAAGCUAUGGAAUUGAGUGAUAGCAAAACGCAACAAACAAGAGCGCUGUGAAGACUGUGCAGAUUGGUUUCUUACAACAUCCUAUGUCCUCAACACAAUGUUUAAAGAUUAUAUGGCUGCGUUGUCAAAUAUGCGGUGAUAUGUUAUAAGUAUCAUAAAGCAUUGAAAUGUUGGAUAUGACUCGUGAAAUCGACAUUCCUAAAGAAUACACCUCA